CCUGAGUUUUCCAGUAUGUCAACAAUACAUUGACCAAAUCUGUGCGAUUCCCAGCCUGGCCACUUGGACACAUGGAGCCAGAGAUCCUGGGAAGCCUUCUGGACCCGGCUAUCUUAAAGAAUGUGAAAUCAAUCACGUUUUCACCUAUUCUGAAUCGAUGCACUAUUAGACGUGAUUUUACUGCCACCAUGAACCUCACUAUCAAUGCUGAUAAAGGUCCAGAGGUAGGGAUGAACAGAGGGGGCCAGGCUGUAAGGAAGAGGUCUUGGUAAGAUGUUCUUUAAAAAUCUGCAGUGAUUGCUCACAAGGCAGUGGGGUCUACGAGGCAAAUUGUGGGUUCAUGUCAGUCAUUUAUGUGACUUCUGAGAUUUAGGACCCCCUUGAAAAUGAGAUGCUACAUCUCAAGGGGCUAUCCUUUCAAUACAAUAAAUAUUUAAAAUAACCAUCACAUUUCUAACCAAUGAAUACUACUCCACUUUAUCGCUAACAAUCUCUAACAAAAAGAAAGUUUUGGUUAUACAUGUAAUUUCUGUUAUAUUUAAACAAGAGAACAAACAGUUAAUCACCAU